rnacentral:rRNA from 1 species
AUUGAACGCUGGCGGCAGGCUUAACACAUGCAAGUCGAGCGAGCGGCGGACGGGUGAGUAAUGUCUGGGAAACUGCCUGAUGGAGGGGGAUAACUAAUGGAAACGGUAGCUAAUACCGCAUACCAUCAGAUGUGCCCAGCUGGGAUUAGUUAGUAGGUGGUGUAAUGGCUCACCUAGGAGACGAGCCCUAGCUGGUCUGAGAGGAUGACCGGCCACAAUGUACCUGAGACACGGUCCAGACUCCUACGGGAGGCAGAAGUGGUGAAUAUUGCGCAAUGGGCGCAAGCCUGCUGCAGCCAUGCCGCGUGUGUGAAGAAGGCCUUCGGGUUGUAAAGCACUUUCAGCGAGGAGGCGUUACUCACAGAAAAAGCACCGGCUAACUCCGGGCCAGCAGCCGCGGUAAUAC